ACCGCCCCCAGCACGGAAGUUUGAACCGAUGCUGCUACCUCAGACUAUCCUUGGCACAAAUAUAAGGUUGUGAUAAGAACAGCAGCUGACUAUUCUGUGGAUUUACAAGGAACCAGGACUCCUUGGAAAAAUGGCUGAUUCCACAUCAAGGCAU